rnacentral:tRNA from 1 species
GUCUCGGUAGUGUAAGGGGUAAGAGCACGGUCCCCGGAAAGGACGAGUGUGGGUUCGAGUCCCGUCUGAGACU